GCGGAGAACCUGUUUACUUCACAUCAGCCUAGAUUUCGGGAUUUUUUUGGGGGAUGUUUGGGUCAAACCUCUGACCAGGUAACACCCGGGGAGCUGGAGGAAGAAGAGAAACAGCUCAGCGUCGGCUCCAGACGACAUUAAUGGAGCGAGGCUCGCCGAGCGGAGGUGUAUUUACUGAAGCCGUCUGAACGGAGACAUGGAGCCCAAACCACUGAAAGCGAUGGGUCUCCACCAGUCAGACCAAACUUCAAAGGUACAACUGGCCUGCUGUUCCUGCUUGGUCUUCUCCAUGGCUAUACAGGCCACACGCCUGCAAAGAAGAAGUUUGCCCAUCAGUCACUGACAGGGUGUGGCACAGAAGAUUGAGCAUUGCUAUAGAGAGAGAUCUUGCCUUCAGCCAAGGGUGGUUGAGGGCCUCGUACACGGUGAUUCUCUCAGCAGGGUCCAGCAUCAGCAUGCGUCUCACUAGAUCCUUGGCGCUCUCCGAGAUGUGGGCCCACUGGCGCGGGUUCAUCUGGACAGGUUCAAAUACAUUAACGCUGGCGAGCAGGUGUGCUCCGUUCCUUCAGAGCUCCUCCGUAAGUCGCAUCGACAAAGAGGAGCUCACUGUUGGACCGGCUCUGGUGCCGUGAUGAACUUGUUCAUCGUAUACUCUGGUAGAUUGGCUCCUACCUUGUAUUUCCCCUUAAUGAUGGCCUCAAACAAACGCUCUUUGGUGCCGUAGAAAGGAAGGCAGCCAGACAGGAGGAUAAAGAGGAUGACUCCGCAUCCCCACACGUCCACAGGUUUGCCGUAUGGCUCCCUCUUGACAACCUCUGGGGCCAUGAAGUGGGGGGUACCGACUCGACCUGAGGAGAGUGGGCAGAGAGGCGAUUUGAACAGUCCUUCGCUACUUGGACUAACUGACAGAUUUUGGGGGAUUCUUGCAGGAUUGUUCAGUCUCGAAAAUGUCUGAAAAUGGUGAAAAGAUAUAAAGUUAGGCUGACAUGUAACAGAGAAAAAAAUAUUAAAUGUUUUGAUCUGAGAAGCUUAUUUUCUUUAUGUGGGUUCUAUUUUUCCUCACAUGGCUUAAACAAUCAAAUGACUUCUGGGAACCAAAAUAUUACACUAAAGAUUAGGGAAAAUAGAAAGAAAUCUUGUCAACUUCAUCAUGAACUGUGGAAAAUCCUACUCAUUCAGUUUGUGCUGCUUAGGGCUGCAAAGCCCUGGAUCUCCAUCUUCCACUGGGAGAAAGGCACAACCUAGACACCCAGGGGCCAAUGCAGGAUGCUCAUUUCUAUCUCCUUUGCCAUUAUGUACAAAUGGUCAAUAGGCCAUUCUUGCCACUAUUUGAGAGUGACGUGAAUGGGCAG